rnacentral:rRNA from 1 species
ACGACGCUGGCGGCGUGCUUAAUACAUGCAAGUCAACUGAACUUUAGGUAGCAAUAUUUAAAGGGAGGUGGCGCACGGGUGAGUAACACGUAGGUAAUCUGCCUUCAGGACUGACAUAACUCCGCGAAAGCGGGACUAAAAUCAGAUGAUGCAGCGGCUCGACAUCGAGACAGUUGUUAAACCUUCGGGGCCUGAAGAUGAGCCUGCGUCUGAUUAGGUAGUUGGAGGGGUAAUGGCCCACCAAGCCUGCGAUCAGUAGCUGGUCUGAGAGGAUGAUCAGCCACACUGGAACUGAGACACGGUCCAGACUCCUACGGGAGGCAGCAGUAAGGAAUAUUGCUCAAUGGCCGAAAGGCUGAAGCAGCAACGCCGCGUGGAGGAUGAAAUACUUUAGUAUGUAAACUCCUGUAAGAGGGGAAAAAUAUACAGUUCUGCUGUAUUGAUUGUACCCUCAGAGUAAGCACCGGCUAACUACGUG